rnacentral:rRNA from 1 species
UACGGGGGGGGCGAGCGUUAUUCGGAAUUACUGGGCGUAAAGCGCACGUAGGCGGCGACGUAAGUCUUGUGUGAAAUCCAACGGCUCAACCGUUGAACGGCAGUUGAAACUGCGUUGCUUGAGUCCGGGAGAGGAUGGUGGAAUUCCCAGUGUAGCGGUGAAAUGCGUAGAUAUUGGGAGGAACACCGGUGGCGAAGGCGGCCAUCUGGACCGGCACUGACGCUGAGGUGCGAAAGCUAGGGUAGCGAACGAG